rnacentral:tRNA from 1 species
UCCCUCAUAGCUCAGUUGGUAAAGAAUCUGCCUGCAAUGCAGGAGACCCUGGUUCGAUUCCGGGGUCGGGAA